AUGCCCCUGACUAUGCUGUUUGCUGCCUGAUGGCAGUAGUGGGUUCCCCUAGCUUCCGUGUGCUUAACUGCAGGCCAAGUUCUAUACCCGGAACUUAGUUCCUGAAAACCCAGUUUCCCUUGUUCUUUGAGCUGUUACCUGGGAGAUAAAUUAAACUUGUAAACUCUAAAACUGCCCUAGAGUCCGAACAUCCAGUGCAGGGAAGGAAGAUGCAGGGACUGUGCAGAUAGGGUAAUCAGCGUUCGAAAUGGGUGUGUGGAGGUCAUCGCAAAGGAAGGGCAGAACCUGAAAGAGCUGUACCUGGUGUCCUGUAAAAUCACAGACUACGCUCUGAUAGCCAUUGGGCGAUACAGCAUGACCAUAGAGACCGUGGACGUUGGAUGGUGCAAGGAGAUUACCGACCAAGGCGCCACCCUGAUCGCACAGAGCAGCAAGUCUUUAAGAUACUUGGGGCUGAUGAGAUGUGACAAAGUGAGUUGCCUGUCAAACUUCUUU